AUUGAACGCUGGCGGCAGGCCUAACACAUGCAAGUCGAGCGGUUGAAGGGAGCUUGCUCCUGGAUUCAGCGGCGGACGGGUGAGUAAUGCCUAGGAAUCUGCCUGGUAGUGGGGGAUAACGUCCGGAAACGGGCGCUAAUACCGCGUACGUCCUGAGGGAGAAAGUGGGGGAUCUUCGGACCUCACGCUAUCAGAUGAGCCUAGGUCGGAUUAGCUAGUUGGUGGGGUAAAGGCCUACCAAGGCGACGAUCCGUAACUGGUCUGAGAGGAUGAUCAGUCACACUGGAACUGAGACACGGUCCAGACUCCUACGGGAGGCAGCAGUGGGGAAUAUUGGACAAUGGGCGAAAGCCUGAUCCAGCCAUGCCGCGUGUGUGAAGAAGGUCUUCGGAUUGUAAAGCACUUUAAGUUGGGAGGAAGGGCAGUAAGUUAAUACCUUGCUGUUUUGACGUUACCAACAGAAUAAGCACCGGCUAACUUCGUG
rnacentral:rRNA from 1 species